GCGCGCGAGAGAGAGUGUAUGAGCAGAGCUUCACAUGUGGGCUGCUGUGACUCGUCGGAGGAUGCUUGCCGGCUCUGUGCCUGCAAGGUCUCGCUGUUCCGAUCACCCAUCUGCCUUACUAAAGGGGACGGAGACAGAAGCAGGGCUGGAGGGACGCUGCUAAGAGAGGUGCAAUCGCCGCAAAGAUGUUUUUCUUAGACGCUCCAACAGACAGGAAUCUACUGGCAAGAAGAAAGCCCCGGUCUUCCCCGCGAGAGUACAAAGCCCCCCAGUCUGCACACAGCAGAUGCAGGAAAGCUAGUCCAUCUGCCACCAGCUUGCUGAGCCACAUGGGCCUGAGAGCUUUAAUGAAAGUGGGGAGGGGGGGACAUUUAUUUCUUUAUCUCCAAAGGUCUCUAUUAUUUACAUAAUAGAAAAAAAGUUUGGAACAAAAUCACUGCAUCCAUCACUGGAUAUACAAACAGAAAUAUCUAAUGCAUUUACAGCAUGAUUUAUUGUAAUUAUUGAAAACAAAAAAGAUUAAAGAAUUCCUACUGCUAGAAAAUUAUGUUAAAUUAAUAAAUUUUAUGGGAUUAUUACUUCUAACAAUAGCAAAUAAU